GAGCCCGUGGCUCAAUGGUAGAGCGUUUGACUCAAUUAACAAAGGUCACGGGUUCAAAUCCCAGGUUUG
rnacentral:tRNA from 1 species